GCAGAUUAAAGGAAGUGACACCUUGAAAGAGGACUUUGCAAAAGGCAUUAUGCAAAGCGAAGGUGAUGUGUGGCCGACUAGGUGAGUGUUAUUAUGAUAACAAUGGUGGUGUUGUUUUCAGUUCCACCUAUGCGCAGGCAUUAGGUCAUUUAAUCCUUACGAGAACCCUGUUUUUGUCACGCCUUCUACAGAUGAAGAGUCUGAGGCUCAGAGAGGUGACAGGACUUGUCCAAGGUCAUAUAACCAGUUGGAACCUGACUCAGGACUUGAAUCCCCACCUGAUUUCAGUCCAGCAUGCUGCACCCUACUCCGUGCAGCCUAUGAUUGACUGAGAAGAUACUUUACAAACUGUAAAGUGAUGAAUAUCGUCAUCAUGGUCACUUUAUUUUUUUAUUUUAUGGUAAUUGAUGUCCAUUCACUGAUUUCUCCUGGUGGGAGCAGCACCUUUCCCAGUCCUGCCACCAGGGGGCAGCAGAGCCCAGGGCUGGGACCCAGAGGUCCUGAGGGUGGUGCCCUGCCCACUUCCCACAUCCUUGGGGGUUGAGCCCUCCUGAUGUUUAGCUACGAUGGUGGAGCACCCGGCUAGGCAGGGUGCAAGGGAGGGCACAGCCUCCAGGAAAUAGGAGCACAUGCCCAGUCCUGGCCCCAGCUCUGAGAGGAACAGGUCUAACAAGCAAGAUGGCGGUUGAUCGUGGCCCCCUCCUCCAGGAAGCUCUCUGCUGACUCCAGGGCUGGAUCAGGAGCCCCCUUCUUGGCCCAUAGCCCUGGCCUCAGGGCAGCUGCAUCACAGGCAUGUCACCACCUCCGUGCCCCGACUGGACAGUCGGCACCUUGUGGGCAGAGCUCUCUGGUGCCUUUGGGGGUCCCGGCAUGGACUGGGCACGCAGGGGGCUCAGGGUUCAUUGAUUACAUAUGUGGGGGGGUGUAUCUGGGCUGGGUCCACAACCCCUUCCUUCUGAGACUCCCUGGAAGGUGGAUGAAGGGGAGGAUUCCUAAGACUGAAAGAUGUUUACCCCAGAGGCCCUGGAGACCACCCCUGGGCCCUGUGAUGGCCUGGUCUUUAUGCCAAGUUCUUGGCUGCGUAAUGGGAUUAAAAAUAUCACCUCCAGCGGGUACUGAAUGCUGCUUGCCCUUCAUCGGCUCUGAUUACCUCUUUUAACGCCUGUAAUGACCGUCUGGGCAGGUUCUGUUUGUGUCAUCCAAAUUUUACAAAGGAGGAAACUGAGGCUUAGAAAGGGGAGGUGACUGGCCUGAGGUCACACAGCAAAUAAGAGGCAGAGCUGCUUUGAACCCAUGUCCGCCUGACCGAGGGCCAACUUUCUGAAGCCCUUUGCUGUAACAGCUGCCGCGUGUCCACCGGCCCCCACGGUUCUCACAGCAGCUCCAUGAGGUGGGCAGACAGGGAUGGGGAGCGGGAGCCAGUGUUGUACUGGAGCCCAUUCAGACCAGCUCUCAAGAGCAGCUCUUCUCAGCUCUGUGUUCGGAGAUGUCGAGCUGGUGCUGGAAAUUGGCCCUGCCGGGAGUAUGUGUUCACACUACAGGAGUCAGCAUCCCUGUCCCCACCCUACACCAGAGCCGGUGGUUGAUCAUUUCCCAGCACACCACUGUGUGAACGUGAGCCCACGGAGGCUUAGGAAGGGGAAGUGAUGAAGCUGAGAUGCCCACAGGCCUCUGCUUCCUGGCCAGGCUGCAGCCCCUCUGCCCGGCCCUCCUGCCUCCGCCCUCCCUCCCUUUGCUCGCGCCCUGCCUGGCUUUGGGGAUGGUGCAGGGUGCGGCAGCCGGCAGAACCCCUGAUCCUGCUGUCCCCUCCAGGGUGUGACAAGUGCCUGUGACUGAACCUGCUGGGUUCCCGGCACCCCCUUCCACCUGUGGACUGGGGGUGCUCCAGACCCAGCCCCUCUUAUUGACCCCACUGGCCUUAUGCCCAACCAGGCAGGGGGAUGCCUUGGACUCGAUUCCAUGGAGGUCUUUGGUGCCCCUAAAGCUGUGACCCGUGGCAGAGUGGCACUGACAUCCUCCAGUGAGAGUGAUACCACAUGGUAUCACAUCUACCUUGCCUCAGCGCCCGUCUACACCUGCCCCUUCGGGGUGGGGCAAAAGAAGGCUUUGCAGAAGGCAGGUGUGGACGUGCCCUGGGAGGCUGUACUGCUUGGCUGAGGUGGUGGCCGGCAGCACUGGUCACUCAGGGCCCCAUCGGUACCCUGGACUCAGCCCGACAGCCAGCUCUGGCUGGUGGAUCCAGUGAUUUGGGGGUCCGAGCACGCAGUAGGAGGCUGGGAGACCACCUGGAGGUCUGCUGUGAUGAAGAAAUAAGAUGAUGUAGGAAAAGCAUCUGGCAGGUGAGAACACCCACAGCCACAGUGGAGGAUCCUGGAACUCAAGUAAGGCCACUUUGUGGGGGCCCCGGGCGCCCCACCUUCUGCAGCAGUG
rnacentral:lncRNA from 1 species